UAUCGAUGAUGAGGACAAUAAAGUAGUAAUAUCUUGAAAAGUUCACAUUCUUGGGUAAGCCUUCACUUUCUUUUUGCUUAAAACCAAAUUCUUAUUUCUUAAUUU
rfam:Capsicum annuum cultivar Zunla-1 chromosome 11, whole genome shotgun sequence